CCUACGGGUGGCAGCAGUGGGGAAUAUUGCACAAUGGGGGGAACCCUGAUGCAGCGACGCCGCGUGAGUGAAGAAGUAUUUCGGUAUGUAAAGCUCUAUCUGUAGGGAAGAAGAUGACGGUACCUGACUAAGAAGCUCCGUCUAACUACGUGCCAGCAGCCGCGGUAAUACGGAGGGGGCAAGCGUUAUCCGGAUUUACUGGGUGUUAAGGGAGCGUAGACGGCAUGGCAAGUCUGGAGUGAAAGCCCGGGGCUCAACCCCGGGACUGCUUUUGAAACUGCCAUGUUGGAGUGCUGGAGAGGUAAGCGGAAUUUCUAGUGUAGCGGUGAAAUGCGUAGAUAUUAGGAGGAACACCAGUGGCGAAGGCGGCUUACUGGACAGUAACUGACGUUGAGGCUCGAAAGCGUGGGGAGCAAACAGGAUUAGAUACCCUAGUAGUC
rnacentral:rRNA from 1 species